GAUGAACGCUGGCGGCGUGCCUAAUACAUGCAAGUCGAGCGAACAGACGAGGAGCUUGCUCCUCUGACGUUAGCGGCGGACGGGUGAGUAACACGUGGAUAACCUACCUAUAAGACUGGGAUAACUUCGGGAAACCGGAGCUAAUACCGGAUAAUAUAUUGAACCGCAUGGUUCAAUAGUGAAAGACGGUUUUGCUGUCACUUAUAGAUGGAUCCGCGCCGCAUUAGCUAGUUGGUAAGGUAACGGCUUACCAAGGCAACGAUGCGUAGCCGACCUGAGAGGGGUAUCGGCCACACUUGAACUUAGACACGGUCCAGACUCCUACGGGAGGCAGCAGUAGGGAAUCUUCCGCAAUGGGCGAAAGCCUUACGGAGCAACGCCGGGUGAGUGAUGAAGGUCUUCGGAUCGUAAAACUCUGGUAUUAGGGAAGAACAAAAGUGUAAGUAACUAUGCACGUCUUGACGGUACCUAAUCAGAAAGCCACGGCUAACUACGGG
rnacentral:rRNA from 1 species